UCUUAUAGAAGGAUCUAAACAAGCCCUUUGUAGGAAUUUUAACCAAAACCUUAUCAUAUUACCAUUUUUUGCAGUCAGAGGUUGGAUGGCUGGAUUGAUCUCUGCUUUCGCAUACGUAAGAUAUUGUUCGUGCAACGGUAACCCCACUAGUCAAAGAAGACUCUAUGUGCAUAGGGAGAACCCUUCCUUAGCACCAUUCUAUUACAGUCAAGGAUUGGAUGGCUUGAUGGCU
rnacentral:lncRNA from 1 species